rnacentral:tRNA from 1 species
GGGGAUUUGGCUCAGUGGUAGAGCGCUUGCCUAGCAAGUGCAAGGCCCUGGGUUCAGUCCCAGCUCCG